UACAUACUUUACUAAGGAAGCCUAAGAAGGCACAGCGCACUCCCAUUUCUGAGAAAGCAUGGAGUGAUUAUCUUCGUAGCCACUUCAGGCCUCCAGAGCACCCGUGUGCAGGGCCAGGACCAGAUGUAGGAAGAGAUCAGGCAGUUCCAAUUGGGAGGGGACAUGAUGUUCCUGCCUUAUUACGGCAGCAGAGAGAAGUAGUGGGCGUGGAGCUGGAUGUUGUAGAUGCCCCUGACCUUACCACAUUUCAGGGGUUGGUUGCUCAGCAGAUCAGUAAGAUGAACGCGCAAGCUUCACCUGGGUUUGACUGUGUGGCUGCCCCUUUCAUAAAGCAUGCUGUGGUAGAGCGCCCACGUCUAGGUAGGCGAGGAUAUGAUAGGGUCAAUGUUCUCCAGCCUUACAUUGCGCAGCUGUUCAAGCUCCUGUAUGAGAAAGCCCACAUUCCUGCUGAUUGGAAGAAAGCUAAGA
rnacentral:lncRNA from 1 species